rnacentral:ncRNA from 1 species
CUUUUGGUUCAUCAGCUUUGCCUGAUGAUGAAAAGGGAAUCCGGUGAGAAUCCGGAACAGUCCUAACCUCUACUGUAAUUGCGGACAAAAAAACACUGCGGUUAGCGGCCAUUGUUCCACUGGAAUGAGAAGGCGUGUUUUUGCGGGGGAAGCAUAAGUCAGGAGACCUGCCAUUGGUA